rnacentral:rRNA from 1 species
GACGAACGCUGGCGGCGUGCUUAACACAUGCAAGUCGAACGGAAAGGCCCUGCUUUUGUGGGGUGCUCGAGUGGCGAACGGGUGAGUAACACGUGAGUAACCUGCCCUUGACUUUGGGAUAACUUCAGGAAACUGGGGCUAAUACCGGAUAGGAGCUCCUGCUGCAUGGUGGGGGUUGGAAAGUUUCGGCGGUUGGGGAUGGACUCGCGGCUUAUCAGCUUGUUGGUGGGGUAGUGGCUUACCAAGGCUUUGACGGGUAGCCGGCCUGAGAGGGUGACCGGCCACAUUGGGACUGAGAUGCGGCCCAGACUCCUACGGGAGGCAGCAGUGGGGAAUAUUGCACAAUGGGCGGAAGCCUGAUGCAGCAACGCCGCGUGCGGGAUGACGGCCUUCGGUUUGUAAACCGCUUUCGCCUGUGACGAAGCGUGAGUGACGGUAAUGGGUAAAGAAGCACCGGCUAACUACGUG